UACGUAGGGUGCGAGCGUUGUCCGGAAUUACUGGGCGUAAAGAGCUCGUCGGUGGUUUGUCGCGUUGUUCGUGAAAACUCACAGCUUAACUGUGGGCGUGCGGGCGAUACGGGCAGACUGGAGUACUGCAGGGGAGACUGGAAUUCCUGGUGUAGCGGUGGAAUGCGCAGAUAUCAGGAGGAACACCGGUGGCGAAGGCGGCAUCCUGGACCAUUACUGACGCUGAGGCGCGAAAGCUAGGGGAGCAAACGGG
rnacentral:rRNA from 1 species